AGGCCCAUUGAAUAACUCGUGUUCGAGCUCUUUUGACCCGAAGCCAGCGUCUUGUCGACCCGACAUCGAACCGGCAUUGGCCAACCGUAAGAGGCAGCUUCUUUUCUUCGUACCUUCCGAAGUCUGGCGGCAUCCUCCGUCCUGCCCUGCAGGGUGCGGAAUGGUCCGACUCUAAAGGAGGAGGGAAAAGUAAUUCAACAAGUGCCUGAAGCUGCUGUUUUUUCGCUGUAUUCUUGUUCAGUUCGGUCGUCUGGCAUUGUCUGAUUUUUGCGAGUGUCGAGGUCGGUCAGGGAGAGCGAGAGAGAUUGAUGGGUAGAGUCGCAGUUGCAGUGAUCGUGAGCUUAUGGGUCGUUCCCGUGUCCAUUCUUGUGAAUCGCGUCGUUCCCGAGCCUUACAUGGACGAGAUAUUUCACAUACCUCAGGCUCAGCAGUACUGCAGAGGCAAUUUCAGAAGUUGGGAUCCCAUGAUCACCACCCCUCCUGGCUUGUACUAUCUCUCACUUGCCUAUGUUGGGAUUUUGUACCCAGGGAUGAUCUUUACUCGAGCAAUCGCAUCUUUUCCGGAUAUUUGCUCACCAGAAAUUCUUCGUUCCGUGAAUGGUGUCUUGGCCGUGAUAUGCAGUGUUCUUGUAUACGAGAUAAUGACAUUAUUGAGGCCCGGGGUCAAUGAUAGGAAUGCUACAGCUUGUGCAGUGGUUUUAGCAUCAUAUCCUCUACAGUGGUUCUUCACUUUUCUGUAUUACACUGAUGCUGCAUCCCUUACUUUGGUUCUGGCUACGUAUCUUGCUUGCCUGAAGAAGAGAUACUGGAUAAGUGCACUAAUGGGCGCAUUGUCCGUAAUCGUAAGGCAAACAAAUAUUGUAUGGAUGCUUUUUGCUGCCUGCACUGGAAUCAUAGACAUUACCCUUCUUUCUGGAAAGUGUCGUGUAAAAGUAGCUGAUAUUGAUGGUCCAAUCAAUGUAUCAAGUCAGCUAAUUCGCAAGAAUAGUAAUAUCAGCUCAAAUUUGAGAAGGCGAAAGAACAAUGGUGCCGUGGAUACUGGUGAAAAUGUUGGACCUACUGCAAAUAUAUUUUCAUCUGAGAUGCCAGGUUUGCUAGAUGAGAUUAAGGCCAUUUUGUCAACUUCUUGGCAUAUGAAGUGGGAGAUUUUGGUGCAUUUUGUACCCUUUCUCAUGAUCCUCAUGGCCUUUAUUGCAUUCAUCAGGUGGAAUGGAAGCAUAGUGCUUGGUGCAAAAGAUGCACACACUGUUUCUCCUCAUUUUGCACAGGUUAUGUACUUUGGUCUGGUUUCUACACUGGCCAUGGCGCCUGUGCAUUUCUCAUGGGGUCAAGCUGCAAGAAUCUUCCGGUCCUUGUGGAGAAAUAAACCUCUAAGUUUUCUUCAAGUUCUUAUAGCUAUUUGUGCCGGUUUCCUCUCUGUUCAUUUUUUCAGCAUAGCUCAUCCCUAUCUCCUUGCUGAUAAUCGGCACUAUCCGUUCUAUUUAUGGCGGAAGGUCAUCAAUGCACAUUGGUCCAUGAGAUAUCUUCUGGUUCCGCUUUACGCAUACUCGUGGCUUUCGAUUUUCAGUGUUUUGGGAAGAUUUCAAAAAAGGAUCUGGAUUGUAGCUUAUUUUCUAGCUACUGCAGCAAUUCUUGUUCCUGCUCCGUUGAUCGAGUUCAGAUAUUACACUGUGCCAUUCUAUCUUUUGAUGCUGCAUUCUAAUGUUACUGAUAGUCGAAGUUGGUUCCUGAUGGGCUUCCUCUAUGUAAUGACAAAUAUCUUCACGAUGUCCAUGUUUUUAUUUCGACCGUUCCAGUGGAAUCAUGAGCCUGGGAUUCAGAGAUUUAUAUGGUAGCCUUUAGAAAUAGUAAGGGUCUACAGUAUGUGUGCACCUCUUGAUUAUAGUUUCAGGUGUUUCGAGUUAAGGAAUAAAGGCAGAGUGUGUGAGUCUAAAUAUCUACAAAAAGCCAAAGGUAAAAAGUGAAAGGGAAUUUUCUUCAAUUAUAGUUCGAAAUGAGGUUAUAGAUUAUAACUUCAAAUUCCUUUAUUUUUUAUCUAUGAAUUUCUUCAAAAGAAAGUAGAGUAUUAUUUUUUCCAAUACUCAAUUCAUAUCAAUUUUGUAAGGAAAAAAAAAAAAGGAAUCGUGAUGAUUAACAUUAUCUAAAUAGAUGUAUACUCAUGGUCUCUGUCUCUGAUACUGUGUCAUUGACUUUGGACGCUUACUAUGCGUCAAGCUCAACCAGUUCAACUUUGCUACCGAGUAGGCUGGCGAAUGAUGGCUAACACCACCAUGCUUUGCCCUUUGACGUGGUAGAGGAGGUGGACCAAGAGAGUCCAGGUGAUCAUUGCUGUCGCUGUCUUCCUCCUCUCGUCCAAUCCGAGGGCCCCGGCUUGAUCACUGGCCGAUGAUCUCAAUAUGCCCGCUGCUUUAGUUGAUUUGACCUUGCUUCGCGAUGCCGGGGUAAAGAACGCAGGGUUGUAGUGUGUUUGGAUGGGAGUGCACCUACCAUUCCUUGAAGGAUUUCGGAUCUGGCUCCAAAGUUGGCUCAUCCACAUUGAAGUUCGCUUUUGAUGAUAUCUGAUUAUUUCUUUGAAUUUUUGAGAAAUAAGUUUUGUCUUAAACUCAGUUUUGGCGUUGGUUUGUUGCCUCGGGUACUUUGGUUAUGAAAUUUUUCUUUUUGGCUAUGCUACAGAAGUAUGACCUUUUUUCUUCCUUUCGCUAGCCAAGUAGGCAAUAUUAUAUAGAUAAGAGAGGAGUGUACAAGAUAAUUCCAAGAACUGUCCAGAAAUUACAAAACCAAAGUGAGAGUAUCAGCAGCCUUAAGUGCAAGAACAAAAGGAGGAUUGAGGCAUCCUUUAUAUCUACGAGAAAGGUUCCGUCUAGCUAGUUCUUGGGCUGUCAUGGUUGCUUAGCUCGGAGUCGAACUUUCUCUUACAGAGGGCUUCUCUGUCAUGAAUGUCUGAACAUCAUUUACAAAAGCUUCCACUGACCAAGGAGACUCUGAGGAAUAUAUUCUUUCAUGACAUGUAUGCUAUCUCCAUCUAAAUGAGGCGUUGCCAGCUUCGUGAUCUUGCCAGUGGAGAUGCAAUUUUCGCUGCCCAUGCUUCUCCACUUUCUAUUGUGGUGGUCUGCUCCAAGAAAAAUCCUUCUUGAUGUCAUUUCCUGCAAGUGAGAUUGAGCAUUUAGUGUACUUCUCUGUGAAAGAUCCAAUAAGGAGUUGUAUUGAGCUUUUACGUUCUUAAUGCAUUUAUCUAAUCUAAAGCAGCCUUUUCAUGUUUAUGAGAUUCCUCCACAUCCACAAAUAAUCUAAUAGUAGGAGUCUAGAGAUUUUAAAAGGCUCUAUCUCAUCAUCAGCUAGAUCAAUACUUGGAUCUAGAAUUGCCUCUAUCCAUUCCAUUGUCUGUCAGUGUUGGAGGUUAUCGGUUCUAAUGCCUUAACAACCACACCGGUGUAGCCACAUGACAAUAAAAAAGUACAUGUUUGCUCUUUUCAAAGAGAGCAUUACAAAGGACUCUUUAGUUUGUGUUUGCUUGUUGACCAAAGUGAAAGUUUUCUGGCAAUGCUAGAACUCCGGCUGUUAUCCUCUAAGCAUGCAUCUGCUACCUUUCUUAAGAUUUGAUUUUCCUAAUUUGUUUCCACAAGUUCUGUUGCACACCAUUUACCUGUCCAAACCGGCAAGAAGUAGCUGUUGCAAUUCCAGAUUUAACAUUGUAAUUACCAUCUAUGUUUUGGAAGCCAAAUUAACUUAUCUUCAAGUUUAGUGAAACUUAAGGGGAUUCUCAUGACACUAUCACUUCUUCUUUUAAUAGUUUAUAAUAGUUCCACAUUCCAUCCUCCCCUUCUCUUAUUAAAUCAUUCACCUGGUGAGACUAUUUUUUGGUUGGACUCAGAAUCCCUCUAAGUUUGGUACCAAGGGGUCUGUCCAAAUGUUUAUGUUUACCCAUCUCCAACCAUAAAGCAAAUUCCUCUGCUAAGUGUCUCUCUCCCUUGAAUGAUGUCCUUCCAUACUUCAGAGUUGUUGGGCAUUGUGCAACAUGCAAAAACAAGUAUCGCUGACAGUAUUUUUGUCAGAACAAACUGACACACACAGUCUUUUCUUAUCUGUCGCUAGUUGCCAAACUAGUUUUGAUAUGAAAGCUUUAUUGACAUCCUCCAUUUUCCUGAAACCGAUAAGUUCUUUGGUUGGCAUAAACUAUAACUAUCCCAAGCCCGUAGGUUAAGAUUGGGACUUUGAUCUUGCUUAUUUCCCCACCAGAAUUUUCUCAUGAUUCCAUCCAUCUCUUACAGAUUUUUAGGGCACCAUGUCAGUGGAAAAUAUGUGGUUGGGGAUUGAUUGAAGGGCAGAUGACAUAAGUGUCACUCUCCUUGCAAAGGAAAGGAUUCUCCUUUCCAGGUCUCUGUUUUCUUCCUGAACUUAUCCAAAGUGGAUUAAUAUUUUCCCCUAUGUUACUUGAGGCACUUAAUUAGUCCCUCAGUCAGGUGUACUGUGUAGUUGCUGCAUUUCGGUUGCAUUGGAUGGUUAGGUUGUGCAUAGAAGUUGAUCUUUGGUUCUUUAAAGGGAUUAGUUAUUGGCUAGUUAUGUGUUUCAUUCUGUCCCCCAUUUCCUUCUCAGAGCAUAGUAACUAGGUCACAGUUUUUCCUGGAAAAAAGAGAAACUGUUGCCAUGAAUGACAGGAAUUACCUUUCAGAUAUGUCAGUAAUCAUGCAUGCGUGAAUCAAGCAUUCAAUAAAAUUACAUAGUUCAGAAGAACAACUUGGUAAGUGAAUUGAUGUAGAUGAAGGGACGGAGUAUAGUGAACCCUUUUGUAAGUAUUGACCUCAUGCGAUGCGCCUUUGAUUGAA